rnacentral:lncRNA from 1 species
AGAUCAUAUCUAAACAUGCUUCUUAACUCUAGAAAUUGCGUUCUUUGUGAUACAUAUAUGUGAGCAUUCGUUUCCAUAUUUACAUCAAUCUUCUCACAUAUGACUAGUGUAGGGUGUGGAGUUAGAAAAUCUGAGUGAAAAUAGAGUGUAUAUCUUGUAAGGAAUUGAGGGAACUCUCUAAGGCAUGUUACUACAUUCAAAGCAUUGUUUUAAUUGAUUACUUGUGAACUAGUGAGUAGUGGCUUUAAUUAAGUAUAUGCUUGUGUAAAGAUGACUCAAAUCUGUAGGGAUAACAACCUUUAACAUGUCAUGUGCAUUGGAAAUCCCUGAGGCAAACGUUGGAAGGUUUAGGUUUUGUUUUGGUUAGUUUGUUUUGUUUUGUUUUCUUUCUUUUGUUUGUUUUGCUCGAGGACUAGCAAAAGCUAAGUGUGGGGGAAUUUGAUAGGAGCAUAUUUAUGCGCCUUAGUUAGCUAGUUCUUACGCAUUUUCGUUAUGUUUUCUUCGUUAAAGUAGUCUUUUAAGCUACUUUCAUGUGUUUUCAGGUUUAAGGGACAUAUUACAUGAAAUGAUGCAAGUUGGAGCUUUUGGAGCAAAAUGUGAGCUUGGAUUGAAAAGGACAUGCUUGGAACACAAGGUUGGGAUGGAAUUGAAGAGUUGAAAAUUCGAGGUUUCCUACUCGAAGUAGGAAAGCUAAGCCUAAAAGUUUCCAUUUUGGGUUGAUCUUUCCUAAAUCGGAAUUGGCAACUAAAGUUUCUAAAGUUGGAAGUUUCUAUUCUUGGAGGUUUCCAUUUUCGUGAGUUUCUAUUCUUGGCUUUGGGCUUUUGGAUGACCCAUCUUCACUUCUUGGACCUAUGCCGCACCUAGGCCUUGUUCACAUGCAAAAAUCUGAUUAUAAACCCUAAGCCUAGUCCAUUAAGGUAGCCGCACCUAACCCUAGCCCAAUCUGAUUUCUUAGGGUUUUAGGUACCNUUUUAAUUGAUUACUUGUGAACUAGUGAGUAGUGGCUUUAAUUAAGUAUAUGCUUGUGUAAAGAUGACUCAAAUCUGUGGGGAUAACAACCUUUAACAUGUCAUGUGCAUUGGAAAUCCCUGAGGCAAACGUUGGAAGGUUUAGGUUUUGUUUUGGUUAGUUUGUUUCGUUUUGUUUUCUUUCUUUUGUUUGUUUUGCUCGAGGACUAGCAAAAGCUAAGUGUGGGGGAAUUUGAUAGGAGCAUAUUUAUGCGCCUUAGUUAGCUAGUUCUUACGCAUUUUCGUUAUGUUUUCUUCGUUAAAGUAGUCUUUUAAGCUACUUUCAUGUGUUUUCAGGUUUAAGGGACAUAUUACAUGAAAUGAUGCAAGUUGGAGCUUUUGGAGCAAAAUGUGAGCUUGGAUUGAAAAGGACAUGCUUGGAACACAAGGUUGGGAUGGAAUUGAAGAGUUGAAAAUUCGAGGUUUCCUACUCGAAGUAGGAAAGCUAAGCCUAAAAGUUUCCAUUUUGGGUUGAUCUUUCCUAAAUCGGAAUUGGCAACUAAAGUUUCUAAAGUUGGAAGUUUCUAUUCUUGGAGGUUUCCAUUUUCGUGAGUUUCUAUUCUUGGCUUUGGGCUUUUGGAUGACCCAUCUUCACUUCUUGGACCUAUGCCGCACCUAGGCCUUGUUCACAUGCAAAAAUCUGAUUAUAAACCCUAAGCCUAGUCCAUUAAGGUAGCCGCACCUAACCCUAGCCCAAUCUGAUUUCUUAGGGUUUUAGGUGCCUAUAUAUAUAUGUUUUACCCCUUAGCCGCACUAUUCACCUCCCAUUCUAAAAAUUAGAAAUCGCCACCACCCAUUGCAGCAACCUUUCCCACCUUUUGCCGCAGCUUCCCUCCAUUCCAGCACCAUUCCACACAUCCAUACACCAUUCUCCACCUCCAUAAACCAUUCCCACACCUUGCCGCACCACCAUACUAUCCUAUCUACCUUUCAAAACCCAAAAACACAUCCAGAAAACUCCAUUCACGCCAGAACCUGUCCCUCACCUUUGCCGAGCCCAACCUUCACCCAACUCCAUAUUUUCUGACCCCAAACCUUCCUAGCCGUGCCCUACACCCAUCCUAGACAUUUUUCCACCAUUCUCCCUCGUCCAAAGUCAUCCAAAACUACCCAAAAAUCCCCUAAACCCUCUCUGCCGCAGCAAGGAGAAGAAGAAAGAGGAGCUUGCUGUGCAGAAUUCAAAGUGGAAUUCUUUGGCAUUUUAGGUGUAAUCUUUCUUAUGUCUUCGAUGUUUCAAUUCAAUAAACUUGGUGUUGUGAGUAUGAGGAACUAAACCCCCUUAGUUGGGGGGUGAUUCGAAACCAUGUACAUGCUUGCAAUUUGAU